AGGUGUCAGUAUAGGCUUACAAACAAAACAAAGUGUGCACAUUCAGGGUUCCUUUAAGAGGCGGUCCUACAUUACAGGAAGACGGUAACUACGCACAAGAAGCAGCAUGGGUCCUAAUGCAAAGAUACAGAAGUUAUGAUGGCUUUGGUGAGUUACAGCAGUUCAGAAGACGAUGAGGGUGAAACAACUGAGCCACCAGGAAGAUUUCUUCCUCCUCUCCCCCCUCCAACAACUGUAUUAAGGAUGUUCCAAGAUAGGGAGGAUGAUGAGGGACUUGAUGACAGGACAAAACAUGGAGGAAGAAUUCGCAGCUUCACACAUGAGCGAGGCAACUGGGCCACCUAUGUCUAUAUACCUUUUCAGCCACAAGAUGAGUUUUUGGAUUUGGUGGAUGAACUUCUGUCUGUAGCUGCAGAGCAUGGAGUCUUCUUGACCAAAAUGAGUGAGUUCCAUAUCAGCCAGUCACAAACAGUUGUCCUUCGACAUCACUGGAUCAAUCCAUUCAUAGAAUCGCUCAAGGAUAAGCUGCACUGCAUGUACAGAUUUCUGUGCAUUGCUGAUCGGAUCAAGGUUUACACCAAUCAGGAGAAAACCAGAACAUUCCUGGGGCUAGAGGUCAGCGUGGGGUCGGAACAUCUUUUAGAAGUUGUGUCAGAAGUGGACCAGUCCUUGAAGGAAUUCAAUCUGCAAACAUUCUAUGAGGAGCCUUCCUUUCAUAUGAGCCUUGCUUGGUGUGUGGGGGACAAAGCUGGGAAAUUAGAAGGAAGUUGUCUGGUAGAACUUCAGAAAGUCAUCGACAGAUUUGAGGAUUCUGACAUACUGACACGAUUUAAUGCUGAAGAGAUUCGCUGCAAAGCUGGAAACAAAACUUUUUGUAUCCCUCUGCUAUAAAGCCUGAUUAGGGAAACUGCCUCUACAUUUUUCCAAGGACAAGUUGAUAUAUAAAUAACAAAUGGAGGAGGGUCUUGAAAGCUGAAGCUCAAGUCAGAUACACUGCAGAAGGCAUAGACAAGCUGACACUUCGGCUGUUGUAGAACUGCACUGCAAAGCAUUCUGGGAGUUGGUUUUCCAGCGGGAGCUCCUAAGGUUACCAUUGCCAGCAACUGAGGAUAAAUGGCUAUAUUGUCCAUGAAUUGUAUCCAAAACGUUGUACAAUGUUACCACCCUCAUGUCUGGCAGCCAUUACAAAAUUCUAUAAUGCACACAAGGUGUGCUAUUGUAAAGCGUAGCAAAUUAUCUCAUUAAUGUUUAGUCUAGAGUGAUAUUUGAGUGGAGCUCAGAAUACCAUAGUAGUCAAUAUUGCAAAGUACUAUUGAAUAAAAUGUUUUUAUGCUCUCUUUACCUAGUACGAAAAAGUGCCUGAUAGCUUUUUCAAAAGCAUUAGUUUAUUUUUAUUAAAUCUUAUUGCAUAGGGUAUAUGUCUCCUUUAAGUUUUAGGUUGCAGUUUUAGCCUUGUCCACACUACCACUGUCUCUGGCUGGCCAAAACCUUCUCGUUCACUUUGUACUGUAAUAUAAUACCUUAAAACAGUGCUGUCCAACUUCUUUGGGAGCAAGGGCUACAUUUUUUCUGGCCUGCAUAGUGGAAGGCCGAUAAUGGAAGAUAGUUUUGGCCACUUCAUUUUUUUUUUAAACCACACCCAUGUUAUAAAAGAGAGGGAAAGGUAAAAACAAAGUUAGCUUUAUUAUAAAGGUCUAUGGAAAUACAGAACUUCUGCUCUGAGUCCUCAAUGAAAAGAAGCACAACAUUUCUUUCCUUCUAUUCUUAUACAUGACUGUGUCAGACUUCCCUCUCUCAGCAAAAUCCUUCCUUCAGGGA